rnacentral:rRNA from 1 species
GACGUAGGGCGCGAGCGUUGUCCGGAUUUAUUGGGCGUAAAGAGCUCGUAGGCGGCUUGUCGCGUCGGUUGUGAAAGCCCGGGGCUUAACCCCGGGUCUGCAGUCGAUACGGGCAGACUAGAGGUAUGCAGGGGAGAACGGAAUUCCUGGUGUAGCGGUGAAAUGCGCAGAUAUCAGGAGGAACACCGGUGGCGAAGGCGGUUCUCUGGGCAUUACCUGACGCUGAGGAGCGAAAGUGUGGGGAGCGAACAGG